rnacentral:rRNA from 1 species
AGAGUUUGAUCCUGGCUCAGGAUGAACUCUGGCGGCGUGCUUAACACAUGCAAGUCGAACGAAGCAUUUAAGACAGAUUACUUCGGUUUGAAGUCUUUUAUGACUGAGUGGCGGACGGGUGAGUAACGCGUGGGUAACCUGCCUCAUACAGGGGGAUAGCAGCUGGAAACGGCUGGUAAUACCGCAUAAGCGCACAGUACCACAUGGUACAGUGUGAAAAACUCCGGUGGUAUGAGAUGGACCCGCGUCUGAUUAGCUUGUUGGCGGGGUAACGGCCCACCAAGGCGACGAUCAGUAGCCGACCUGAGAGGGUGACCGGCCACAUUGGGACUGAGACACGGCCCAGACUCCUACGGGAGGCAGCAGUGGGGAAUAUUGCACAAUGGAGGAAACUCUGAUGCAGCGACGCCGCGUGAGUGAAGAAGUAGUUCGCUAUGUAAAGCUCUAUCAGCAGGGAAGAUAGUGACGGUACCUGACUAAGAAGCUCCGGCUAAAUACGUGCCAGCAGCCGCGGUAAUACGUAUGGAGCAAGCGUUAUCCGGAUUUACUGGGUGUAAAGGGAGUGUAGGUGGCCAGGCAAGUCAGAAGUGAAAGCCCGGGGCUCAACCCCGGGACUGCUUUUGAAACUGCAGGGCUAGAGUGCAGGAGGGGCAAGUGGAAUUCCUAGUGUAGCGGUGAAAUGCGUAGAUAUUAGGAGGAACACCAGUGGCGAAGGCGGCUUGCUGGACUGUAACUGACACUGAGGCUCGAAAGCGUGGGGAGCAAACAGAAAUAGAUACCCUGGUAGUCCACGCCGUAAACGA